GCACUCUCACUUUCAUGAGCCUGGAAAACUCUCCGUGCUCCAUCAGGUGCUGGAGCUUCAAAAGCUGUGUUUCAUUUGAAGGCGCUUCCCUGUGCAGCAUUGUUCUGUGCAUGUGCUGCAGGAUGCAAACUUUACAUGACAGAUUUAAAGAACCUCCACAGCAGACCUGCUGCUGCUGAGUGAGCAGUGGGGAGGGAGGAGAGGACGCAUCACAACCAGAGGGGCUUCAUCAGAGCGCCGGCUGUCACAUGUGAUCGGUUGUUGUGAUCGGCAGUGACCGGCAUUCUGAUCACGACCGGUGACCGAUCGAUCCCUAGUUUUGAGGUCUAUCACUCUGUCUGACUUGUUACAUGUAUUUUUGUGUCAGUUUCAGAGUUAGUCCAGUGUUUUGGACCACCGUUCCACAUCACUGCACAACUCUUAUAGCGCCCUCCAUGGUUCAGCACUGGGACUCUGACCACUUGGUGGUUGACCUUGUUCCCUCACAUCAACAGAUUGAAUGAAGAUCUGGACAAGUGAAGCAGUAGAGGAGCUGCAGACUUGUAUGGAGGCCACAGACUGGGAGGAGCUCAGAGCUGCUGAACAGAUCCUCUGCGGAAUUCAGCACAACAUUCCUCGACAUACUUUUAACAGUUACAGAUGGUUUAUCUUGACUGUCGACCACACAUGCGCCAACAUCGUUGUCAUGGCUGCGGUGCUUCCUGAGGUGAGCUGGAGGACAUUCUGUGUGCUGCAGAACCAAAGGUCGCAGCCACUUCCUGUUCAUUCACAGCUCUGUUGUGUGCCACCCUCUAGUGGGGAUUUCUUCAAGCCCUGUCUUUACAACACAAAUGGUUUUUUUUCUCUUGAAACAAACACGGAGUCCUGUUCUCCAAUGAUGCUUGGUCAUUUCAAGGUCCUCCAGGUCACCGGGAGCGACAGUGUGACUUGGAGCUGCAGGUUGGAAUCCAGGAUUCAGGUGAUUUUCUUCAUCCUCAGUUGCCAACAAGACCUCAGCAAUAUGUGUAGCAGCUCAUAGACCCUCUGGGCACGUCUGGACUGGGUCUUGGAAGAAUCCAUGUGGGAGUCUAGUCCAUCUAGAGCUUAUUUAUUUCUCACCUGGCAGCAAGUCUUGGCGACUGGGACCCGCUGGAGAGCUGUAGCAGGGUAAAUGCUUCCCAUCUUUUCUUCUCUCAUGCCGUCCUUUGGCUGCGCUCAGAACAACAUUCUGUUUGGUUCAGAGUCCUGGUUCAGGUGAGCCAUGUGUUUUGGGUGGUUAGGUUUAAGGGGAGAGGCUGGGGAAAGGGUUAUGGACAUGAGAGGUCCUAAAAAUACCAGUGUGUGUGUGUGAGCGUCACAAAGACAGAGACGAAGGCAGUGUUUCAGAAGCAUGCUGCAUUUAUUGAAGCCAAUUCAAAGUGUACACUUGACAGAGGUCAAAGGUCAUCAGCUAUUUACAAGCAUCAUGGCGGCUCAGACCGGAGCCUCCUCCUCCUGCGCGUCUGACUCUGGAGACAGCUGAGACAUCUCCAGCUCCUCCACAGCUGCUGGGAGCCGCUCCCCCCUCCUGCCCCUCCACACCUUCACCCCCACCACACACAGCAUCAGCACCAGCACCGCAGCACUGAGCAGCACGGACCUCAGCAGGAGGUGAUCCACCUCUGGCUCUCUGAGCUUCACCAGGGUCUCAGAGCUGAAGACACAGAGGAGGCCUCUCCUAACCACACACCAGAAGUGUCCACUGUCCUGCAGAGAGACGCCAGUGAUCAGCAGGCUGCUGUUAGAGAGAUGCAUGUUGUCUGGUCUCUGGUACUUGUAGACACGUGAGACUCGUCCUUCGGUUCUGUUGGACCUCAUGAACCAGCGGACGCCGUCGCUCUGAUUCCAGUCCCCACAGUGGAGAGUAAGGUCCUCCCCCUCAGUGAAGAGCUGCACAGCAGGAGGCUCAGGCUCAGGGCACACGUACAGGCGAUAGUGCUCAGGAGCAGAAACGCCGAGGUCACAGGUGUAACUACCCGAGUGCUCCAACCUCAGAGAUGGAAAGAUCAGAGUGGAGUUGAGACUCGCUCUCUCAGACCACAGUGAAUUCAAUAUCCACCAGCGGUGUGUUUGCUCUCCGCUGCCAUCAGAACAGUUCAGCUCCAGCCUCUCUCCAACCGAGCGCAGGAGAAACUCUGGCAGGACCCGAACAUUGAAGUGACUGUGAAGGUCACAGCUGAGCUGCUGCUUGUCCAGACAGUAGUAGGAGACACGUAGAGAACGUUUCUCAACUGUGAGCAGGAGAGAGGGUUUGUUCUUCACCAGCUGGAGUCCGAACUCGGAGGGUGUACCGUCCUCUAUUAAAGAUAACUCAUAUGUUCUGGAGUCCUCAUAGGCCCACUGAACGCUCUGCUUUGGUCCCACCCCGUCACAAGGCAGCUCCACGGUCUGUCCAUCUCUCAGGUACAAAUACAGCUCCGUCAUCUUCUGGUCGUCACAGACGAGGAGAGUGGAGUUCCUGCUGAGCAGCAGCAUGUCCUGACUCCAGCACUGCACCUGGUAUUGACCCGAGUGGGGAAGGAUGGGAAGGCGGGGUGGCGAAUAUGGGGAGCUAGAAUAGUUCCACAGGAGCUCCUUCCCCUCACCGCUCCAUCUGGAGACGGAGCAGGAGUGUGCACGUUUGU